UACAGAGGGUGCAAGCGUUUAAUCGGAGUUACUGGGCGUAAAGGGCGCGUAGGCGGUCAUGCAAGUGAGAUGUGAAAUCCCCGGGCUUAACCUGGGAACUGCAUUUUAGACUGUGUGACUGGAGUACUGUAGAGGAUAGUGGAAUUUCCGGUGUAGCGGUGAAAUGCGUAGAGAUCGGAAGGAACACCAGUGGCGAAGGCGACUGUCUGGACAGAUACUGACGCUGAGGCGCGAAAGCGUGGGGAGCAAACACGG
rnacentral:rRNA from 1 species